rnacentral:ncRNA from 1 species
UUAAGGUGAGCUCAAGGAAGACAGAAACCUUUCAUGGAGCAGAAUGGGCAAAGGCUCACUUGAUCUGGUUUUCAGUAUGACUUCAGGCUGUGAAAGAGGA